rnacentral:rRNA from 1 species
AGGAAUAUUGGUCAAUGGGCGCAAGCCUGAACCAGCCAUGCCGCGUGCAGGAUGACGGUCCUAUGGAUUGUAAACUGCUUUUGUACGGGAAGAAACACUCCUUCGUGAAGGAGCUUGACGGUACCGUAAGAAUAAGGAUCGGCUAACUCCGUGCCAGCAGCCGCGGUAAUACGGAGGAUCCAAGCGUUAUCCGGAAUCAUUGGGUUUAAAGGGUGCGUAGGCUGUGAGGUAAGUCAGCGGUGAAAUGCCCCCGCUCAACGGGGUGAAGUGCCAUUGAUACUGCCUUGCUGGAAUGCGGAUGCCGUGGGAGGAAUGUGUGGUGUAGCGGUGAAAUGCAUAGAUAUCACACAGAACACCGAUUGCGAAGGCAUCUCACGAAUCCGCGAUUGACGCUGAUGCACGAAAGCGUGGGUAUCAAACAGG